CUUUCCAAGCAAACCAGCCGUUCCGGGCAGGCGGGCUUUGUAGCUUCCAGAAAAGGAUGGAUUUCUUACUGUUCAGCCGAGACCUCGAGUCAUAAAACUCGCCCCUGAACAGCCACCAUCCCCCCCCCGCCUCCUACCUCCGGAUGCUUUCGCGAUGACUGAGUGGGACUGCCUGGGCAAGGGCGCUCUUUCGGCGCUGCUCACUCUGGUCCGCGGAAGGCGCGCCCUCGACCCCCCCCCACCUGUCCUGCCGCCGCUCCUCCGGGUUUGCGCCGAGUUUAGCGCCCUUUCCCCUCAUCCUGGUACCACUCCACCGGCUACUCCUUGCUUAUUUUUAAGGGUUAGCGCAAGACACCGUUAUGGGGCUUUCUUCCUCUUCGCUUUAUCAACGAUGUCCAACAGAGGUCCAAGGCCAUCCUCAAGCCGGGCAGGAGUUCCUGAAAGGGAGGAUCGAGAGCCGUGGCGUGGGCUUUUCCUGAUCCCCAGGCAUCCUUGGGGAAAGAAAACGCUUUCCCAGCUCCACUCCGCCACCUGGGAUCCCGAAGACAAGAGUUUCUGCAGAGGCAGGAGAAAAAACCUCGCUGGACUCCGGCGGCGACCACGGGGUGAAACGUGCAGAGAUCAAUAACCCUGGAAAGCGCCGCUUUGGGCAGACCCGAUAAGCCAAACCCGGAAUCAUCAUCCUCCCAUUUCUCCCCCCCUCCUUCUUUGUUCCAGGCGAUCCAGGAACAGUAGAAAGAAAGCGGGGUGCCCGGGUUUGGGGGGGGGAAAGCGGUGGUGGUAGAAAGGACCCAUUUUACCAAAGUUGGAGGGAAGCCUCUGGUCGCGAUCGGCUCGCUGGGCCACAUCUUGCGCCGCCCCUUGACCUGGCUCUCCCCUGGCCUCCUCUCUUUCGGUGGCAGUAAAUCAAAGGCAAAGUGAAGAUUUUCUGUUUUAAAGGGUUUGGUGUUUUUUUUGGAAAAAAAAUUAAAAUGAGGGUCAUCCCAUCUAUUCUUCAAAAAAAAAAAGCGUGAAAUAUAGCUGGGGGUACCCUGUGUUUCUAAAGGUUCAUCAUCAUGGAAAUUUCAAUAAACUUACAUCACUCCCAAUGGCUAAAGGACUU
rnacentral:lncRNA from 1 species